AUGCCCGAAGGGGUCUCUCCCUUUCUUCGAUCCAUGCCGGGAUCCUCCGCCGUGUGGCUGCACACGUGCGCAGCCUUCCUCCACCACCCGGCCGACCAGGCCCAUCGCGGCGGCCAGCCCGGGUUGCUCCCCGCCGUGGCAUGGAGGCGUGGCGGCGCGACGGCCCCGAGGGCGAGCCUAGUGGUGGAGCGGACGACGAUGGAGGAGGCAGUGUACGAGAUUAUAAAAAUUCAUGGGGAAGAGAGGCAAGAUCAGAGAAAGAAGAACUAUAAUCAAUAUUUAAAGUUCUCAGGUGCAGGAACUUAUGUGAAGGCCUUUUCUCCUGAGAUGGCGUGA
rnacentral:rRNA from 1 species